rnacentral:tRNA from 1 species
GGAGACGUAGCUAAAUGGAACAAGAGCAUCUGAAUACGAAUCAGCAGGUUGUAGGUUCGAAUCCUACCGUCUUCACCA